AACGAACGCUGGCGGCGUGCCUAACACAUGCAAGUCGUGCGGGAAAGUUCCCUUCGGGGAGCGAGUAUAGCGGCGCACGGGUGAGUAAUACGUAGGUAACCUGCCCUUGAGACUGGGACAACCUGUCGAAAGACGGGCUAAUACCGGAUAAGACCACGGGAGCUGCGGCUUCCGCGGUAAAAGGUGGCCUCUGCUUGCAAGCUAUCACUCGAGGAUGGGCCUGCGUGCCAUUAGCUAGUUGGUGAGGUAACGGCUCACCAAGGCAGAGAUGGCUAGCUGGUCUGAGAGGAUGACCAGCCACACUGGGACUGAGACACGGCCCAGACUCCUACGGGAGGCAG
rnacentral:rRNA from 1 species